CCUACGGGUGGCUGCAGUGGGGGAUAUUGCACAAUGGGGGGAACCCUGAUGCAGCGACGCCGCGUGGGUGAAGAAGCGCCUCGGCGCGUAAAGCUCUGUCAGCAGGGAAGAAAAUGACGGUAGCUGAAGAAGAAGCCCCGGCUAAAUACGUGCCAGCAGCCGCGGUAAUACGUAGGGGGCAAGCGUUAUCCGGAUGUACUGGGUGGAAAGGGGGCGCAGACGGCGUUGCAAGCCAGGCGUGAAAGCCCGGGGCCCAACCCCGGGACUGCUAUUGGAACUGCGUGGCUGGAGUGCAGGAGGGGCAGGCGGAAUUCCUGGUGUAGCGGUGGAAUGCGUAGAUAUCAGGAGGAACACCAGUGGCGAAGGCGGCCUGCUGGACUGCAACUGACGUUGAGGCCCGAAAGCGUGGGGAGCAAACAGGGUUAGAUACCCUGGUAGUC
rnacentral:rRNA from 1 species